GACGAACGCUGGCGGCGCGCUUAACACAUGCAAGUCGAACGGAAAGGCCUGCUUUCCCUUGUGGAUUGCGGGUACUCGAGUGGCGAACGGGUGAGUAACACGUGAGUGAUCUGCCCCCAACUUGGGUAUAAGCCUGGGAAACUGGGUCUAAUUCCCGAUAGGACUGCAGGGUGGUGCCUGUGGUGGAAAACGAUUUUCUAGUGGUUGGGGAUGAGCUCGCGGCCUAUCAGCUUGUUGGUGGGGUAAUGGCCUACCAAGGCGGCGACGGGUAGCCGGCCUGAGAGGGUGGACGGCCACAUUGGGACUGAGAUACGGCCCAGACUCCGACGGGAGGAAGCAGUGGGGAAUAUUGCACAAUGGGCGGAAGCCUGAGGCAGCGACGCCGCGUGGGGGAUGACGGCCUUCGGGUUGUAAACUCCUUUCGACCGCGAGGAAGCCACCUGGUUGGAAGGGUGGUGACGGUAGUGGUAGAAGAAGCACCGGCUAACUACGUG
rnacentral:rRNA from 1 species